CCCCCUCGGGGCGCGGCCGGACGGGCGCUCAGCUCGCCUGGGUGCGCCCAGCCCACAUCAAAGGCGGCCCUGCCUGCUCGCCUGCCUGCCGCGGCCUCUCGCUGCCUCCUCCUCCUUCUCCUGGCGGCUCGGGGUUGGAGGGGAGGCGCUCAGACUCUCGGAGACGGGACCGGCAGCUCCAAAGGGGCAGGACCCGCGAGACUGAAGCUGGUGAGCGCUGGAAGCCGUCGGAGCUCUGCGCCCGAGCGCAGUGACCGCUCCUCCGCGCAAACGUUGCCCAAAUUGGGCAGGCGAUGCUCCCCAAGAACGCAGUUAGGCGAGCCAGCUUUGGAAACACACGGCUACCACCAAGCGGCCCCGAGACGUCACUGCAACCCCAGCACGGACGGCUGCACGCCGGGGAGCAGCCAGCAGGACUCUGGUCAGCGACCACGCUGAGGCCCUCUUCCGGCCUCCUCCCAAAACCGGACUAAGACUUGCCUCCGUUUGCAUACUAGGCAGCUUCGUUCCUUUAACCAGGGCCCCAUUCAGGACACUGGUUCUUACCGCCUCUGCCCCUUCCAGAGGCAUAACUCCUGUCCUUCCCACCAACCCCAAAACGUAGGUGUUCUUGUCACGUACCUGCCUCACUGUCUAGAGCUGGUGUCAGCCAAGCUCUGCUUGAGCCUGAUGCUAAGGAAAAUAGGUCACAGUGAGAAAGACGCUGGAGGACAGGCUCAAGCAAAACUCAGGAAUCUGGACUAUUUGGUUAAAGCCUCCUUGCGUUGGCAAUGGUUGAUGGUCCACUGGAGCAUAAACUGAGGUAGGACUGUCGAACAGUGCUAUUUGCUGAAGCCAUGACUAUAAAACAUUAGUAAUUGUUCCAAAUAUCAGGCCUCCUUGCAAGCUAUUUUAAGUUCCCUUUCAAAGCUGAGGCUAUUUUAAACAGAUAGCCUCUGUUUCAACAUCGGACACAAGUGCAGAAAACCUUUUCAAAACCAGGUGCUGAGGGGGAAAAUUCCUGCAUGAAGCUUUUAAGCUGAAUUUACUUAGACAUUCUGAUUGCCAGAGCUGGACUUGCAGAGUUACUCGUAACUUCCCAAGUUCUGGAGAAAAUGAAUCGAUCCCAAGAUAGGAUGCAAUGACCAACCAUAAAUAGAAAUGGACAGAAAUGCUCCCACCGAUGACCCGAGUCAUUGCCGCCGUCUUUGAUCUUGCUUUAUAGGAAGAUUGACAAACCCAGUCGAGGAGUUUUUGGCUUACCAUCUGCUAGUUUGAAGUAUCUCCUGGCUAAGAAUCAUGCUUCCAAUUUUCUAUAUUGUUACUAUUUUUUAUUACUUGUGAAUGGAAUGGGUAUAUAAUUAUUUAUACCCUAUCUAAAAUGCUUGCAGUAUUUUUCAAUGCUCAAAGUAUAUUUGCCAAUCUCACCUACCAAACAAAUCAGACUGACCAAAAAGUCCAGCCAAGAGAACAGUUCUGAGUAAGAGCAUAAACUCAGGAGUCAGAAGUACUGCAUUUGAAUACUGCCACCAACAUUUACUUAUAAAUUCCAGCAAGCAACGGUUUGAGAUUCUGCUUCCUCCUCUACAAAAUAUGGCUAAGAACAGUAACAACUCUCACAGAGUUGUGAGUACUCAAUGAGUGUCUGGCACACAAUGAAAACUCCAAACGUUUUAGCUGCUAACUAAUAAUCCUAAUUAUUAUUCAGGUUACUUUCAGGUUAUUUUCACAUUUCUUUCUGAACAAUUUCAUGAAGUAGGGAGGCAGGAUCAUUUCCAAUUUACAGUUGAAGAGGCAUCUAGUCAGAAUGUCUUUUGACUCCAAAUCCAUUUUAUACUACACAUUCUUUUCCCCACCACUCACACCCUCUAGUUUCAUGCACCUAUUUACCAACAUGACCUAUUUACCAUAUGCCUGAAUCUUAAAUGGGUUCUAUCUGGAUUUGGCAUGUUCAUACAACACUUAAUAUAUACCACUAUUUUAGUAGUCACUUCUUACUAAUUCAAUCACAAUUUAUUGAGAUCCUACAGUGUCGAGCCCUCACUGAAAGACAGGCAAGGUCCCUGCACUAAAAAAGCACUUCGUUUCCACUAGGGAAGAUGGGCAAUAAGCAAAUACACCAAGAGAUAAAUGCUGGCUUGUUACCAGUGUUUUGAGAGAAACCAGUGGGAUAGAGAAGCCAGAAGACCUCUUGGUAACAUUAAGGCCAAGACCCAAAGACAGUAGAUAGCCAUGCAAAGGAAUAUUCCAGGUAAAAGAUGCAAAGUGCCUCCAGUGGAAAAAGGCUAGGCGACUGGCAGGGUUAGCCAGGGAGAGUGUGGCAAGAGAUGAGGGUGAAAACAGGCAAUGUGCUUGACCAGGCCUUCACAGGAAAUUAAGUAGCCAUCAAUGGCUUAAGGGUACCAGUUUUGCAAUGCAUCAGUUUUAAGUGUACAGUUCAGUUCUGACAAAUGUAUCUAGGUACAAACACCACCUCUUCUCAGGCAAUCUUCCGGCCCCCAAUUGCUCGUCCCAAGCAAUCAUUUAUCUGGCACUGGUUUAUUUUCGAUUUCACAUAAAUGGA
rnacentral:lncRNA from 10 species